rnacentral:rRNA from 1 species
UACGUAGGGUGCGAGCGUUGUCCGGAAUUAUUGGGCGUAAAGGGCUCGUAGGCGGUUCGUCGCGUCGGGAGUGAAAACACCGGGCUUAACUCGGUGCUUGCUUUCGAUACGGGCAGACUAGAGGUAUGCAGGGGAGAACGGAAUUCCUGGUGUAGCGGUGAAAUGCGCAGAUAUCAGGAGGAACACCGGUGGCGAAGGCGGGUCUCUGGGCCGAUACUGACGCUGAGGAGCGAAAGCGUGGGGAGCGAACAGG